GAAACAGGGACACGACAGACCGAGAAACAUUUUGUUGGAUAUUUUGGGGUGAGAGCAUCCCUACACCAUCGGAGCAUUCAAACAAACGGAUACAUAUACCAAAGAAUAUGGACCAAAUCAGAAUCAUCAUUCUGGUCUUAAUAAUUAUAACAAGACUGGAUACUGCAGGAACAACUUCUACUGCCUCAACAACGGCAACGGCUGCUCCACCAAUAAAAACAACUGCUGCACAAACAACGACAACUGCUGCACCAACGACAACAA